AGAGCUAAAUCCAGCCCUCUGUGGCUCCCUCUGAGCCCACUGUGGGAUGCACCUCGCUCCUGAGAAGGCGCUGAGCUGAGAGGAAGCCGCUGUGCUUUCUGAGGCUCAUCUUUAGGAAACAUUUCUUGUCAGUUAGUCUUGCCAGAAUUCAAGAAGGUUAAGGGAGAAUAAAGGAUGGUCCAAAAAAGAACAAGGAAAAUGAAAAUUUGAAAAAGGGAGCCAUUCCUGAGAGGUUAUUUCACCUGCAGCAGAGUGACCGAGGAAGGAGUGCCUAGCUACCUUUAUGCCUGUGGAGGGAAGAGGUGCCUGGGCUGAUUUUUUUCCACCUUGGCAGAAGUGACUGGAGGCGGAGGAACAGGGAUCUUCAAUACGUACUCCCAUUCUGGGGCUGCUUCUGCUCUAAAAACAGAGCCAAGCAGUUCAGGAAAUCUGCCGAGAAGGCCACCAAGCAAAAUCCUAAGAGCAGCUGGUCUGGAGCCAGGCAGGUUGUGCUACAGUUGCAUGUCACUGUUGACUUCAGAAGAUGCUGCUGCUCUAGGAAGCAUAGAAGAGGUGAAUGCUGAGGGGAGAGAUGUCAAAGCAUGGGGAGAAAUGGAAAUCAGGAGACCAACUUACAAGCAAUUGACACUGGUCAAGUGAGAAGUUAGCGACAUGAAGUCGGCGGUGGCAGUAGCAAUGGAAAAGAGGAAGCAGGAUGAAAAACAAUGAGGAGAUGGACUCUUAAGGGCUUGCUAGGUGGAUGUGGGAGCCAAACGAAAAGUGAGGAACAAUCACAAUUUCCUGAUUUGGAGUGCUGGCAAAGAAAAAUGAUGGUUCUAUUAACAGAGUUAGAGGAAUCAGCAAGAUGACAGUUUGCUUGGAAUUCAGUGAAUCUAAGGCACAUACAAGUCCUCAUUUGAGGAGAAAAAAGGAGGAAGAGGUAUUGUGUUCGUUAGAUGCUGGGACAUGUAAGGCUAAGAUACAAGAGAUAGUCUUCCUUCAUGGCUUUGCUCAGGUUUCUGAAAUCAUAAAGAUUACAGGGCCCUGGGAAGUGAUAAAUGCUAUUGGAGAAUAUGUUUUGGACUAGCAGUCACAGAAUUAGAGACCAGUUCUUGCCUUUGGAAAGGAUGUUUCAGGCUAGAGGGGAUGGUGUGGAUUAGUGUUCUUUCCAGUAGAAGCUCCACCUGUCAUCUGUCCAUCCAUUCAGCCAUCCAUCCAUCCCACUAUCCGUUACUUCUUGAGCAUCUCCUAUUUUUUAACUCUGCACUUCUAAAGAGUCAAAGAACAAAGAUCAGCUUCAUCCCUGGAUUAGCAGAAUACAGCCAGUAAAUCACUAAAUCUCCACAUAGAAUAUUUGGCAUUAACUCCUCAGUCCCUUCCCUUGUGUAACUGGUCAGAGGUGCUGAGGGGUCUUCUUGCAGACCAAUGAUUGGUUAACACGUUCUUUUCAGCUAAAUGACAAACAGUUUAAUUCCAAUAGAAUGCCUAAAAGUCCUUCUCAGAACUGACAUUGGGAUUAUCUACAUUUUAUAUUAUUCAUUGCAAAUUUAAAUUUCUUAUCAGUUUCUGGAAUGCUCGAGCCCUCUCAACAUCUGUUCUUCACAGUGUCCACAUUUUAUGCUCAGAGAAUGCAAAUUACCUUUAAUAUUAGCUUUGCCUACAAAUAAAGACGGAUCUGCUUUCAGAGUACCUCCAGUGCACUGCGACGUGUUCACCAUCUUCUCUGACCUGUCCCUGCCCUUUAAUAAGAAUUCUCGAGUUGAUUGAGCUUUCAUACUUUGGACAGUAUCAGCCUGGUGAGACGGCUUGGUGGAUUUCCCAGCUUGCACCUCUCCAAAGAGAAGAUGUCAUUUGCUAUCUCAGUCUCCAGAUGUCCAAAACUUACUUUUGUUGGUCACUAAGAGCAAAAUUGUCAAACAGGUGACAGUUUUGGUAAGUAUAUUGCUUAGGACUAUUUAUUCUUUAAGAAAAAUUUUAAAUAACUUAUUAAAACUAUUUUGAAAACUAAACAAAUAAGUCAAUAAAUAGACAGCCCAACUCAAACUGGCUUCAACAACAGAGGGGAUUUAUUGGCUUACUCUAUUGAAAGAACAAGGAAGAACAGAAUUCAAGGUUGGUUUGAACCAACAGAUCCAUUAAGUCAUCAAGGUCCUGGUUUUAUUUUAACUUUUUUCCCUAUUUGCAUUCAGGCCAGUUUCCUUUAGGAUGGCAAAGUGUCCGAGGCUCUAGGGUAGUUAUCGUCAAGCCACACUGUCCAGGAGUGAGGUUGGCUUUGGUGGCUCUUUCGGACAAAGUUGAGAACUUACUCUCUCAGAAAUCCUAGCAAACUUUCCCUCAAGACUCAGAUGGGAAAAGGCCAUUUGUUGAUUGGCAUAGACUUCAUUUACCUGAACCAAUCAUUGUGGCAGGAGGACUGGAAUCUAAUCUCUGAUUGGUCCAACCUUGCAGCUGGUGGGGUCAAUCUCCAUUUAAAUCCCAUGGCUACUGCACAGUGGAGGAAAGAAGAAUUAUUGGGGAUUCAGCUGUAAUUUCUACUACAGUAAGACUUUAAACAUUUUCAGUAUUCAAUCAAUCAGCAUGUUUUGAGUGCCUUCUACAAGCAAUGAACCCUACUAGAUUUUGGCAAUCGACUAUAAAAUUCCUGGUCUUGACCUUUACGACUACUGUGAUGACAAAGCAAUGAUUGAAAGCUUAGAGCAACGGGCUGAUUCUGUCCUUCAGAGGUGAGUGUGGAGGGAGCUCGUUAGAAGAAUUAUAGUAGGUACCUAGAAUUUGAACAAUUCAAAUGAAGAAGUUUCAAAGCACCUAAGCAGGAACCUCUUAUUUGCAUUAAAAAAGGUAGGAGUAACUGAGAAGUUUCUUUCCUCCCCCCUCCCAUGUCUAUGUUUGAUGACAGUUGUUUGGAGGAAAUCAUGUCCACUAGACCCAGUGAGCUGUGGUACAACUCCAGUUAAUAUUUGACUAUUGGCUUCCUGUUACACAGAAAACUAAUAGUGAAGAAUAAACCACAAUGUAAGUUAAGUCUCUUCUCCUUUUCUCCCUCCCUUUUGGUGUCUCCACCCCUUUAAAGAGAUGCCUUUCUGUUUAGAGGAUGUGUUCUCUGUUCAUCCCAACUGGAGAAAGUGGGGAGAAUCCUUUGAUGAUAUUUGAACUCUCUUGUCUACUUUCCAAAGUGGUUGAAGGAAGUUCCAGUGACCAAGUCUUCCAAAGAUUCUGCCUCAUUUCAUGGCUUCUUGAGCAGAUAUCCGGCUGCCCGUCUUAGAGGUGAUCCACAUUUGUAGGUGAAGUAGAAGAGAGAAGAUGAAAAGAAAAUUGAAAAGAAAAUAGAGCUUUGGUGUGUGGUGUCAACAUGUGUCAAAAUGACAUAACUCCCCACGGAGAGAAAAGAAACUUCUAGUCCCAAGGACAAAACCCACCUGUUUUACUUAAUCCUCAAUUCCCCGUCUCACCACGUUCCCCCUCCAACCCUUGACAGAUUGAAGGAUCUUGUUGGCUCCGAUUGAUUCCCUGAACACCUGUGUCCACCAGACUGUCCUUUAUGGAUAUUUCCUGAUCUCUUGGCUUCGGCUGGCUUGUGUCUCCAUGGUAACAGGGAGUGGGGAGGGGGACGUGGGGGCAGCUCAGUCCAUUUGUCAUCAAUUGCCACUGUUUUGUUCUGCUUGGUGUGUGCUCUCAAUUGAGUCCUGGAGGAGGCAAAGCAGAACAGAGAGAUUCGGCUGAAGGACUGCUCCCGCCCUCUGAAACCGGGGGUGGGGGGAUGUAGCCGAGGGGACUGUCUUCAGAGAGGGAGAGAGCCCGGGUAUAGAGAUUAUAACCAAAUGCCAACCUUCUCUGGGAGAAUAAUUUUUCUGUGACUCAGAUUUUAUGUUUUAGGAGGGAGGAUGGCAUUCGUGUCCAUCCAAAGACCUUUAUUAUUUUGUUAAAGUAAGAGGAAGGAAAUUUUGCAACCUCCCCAUAAUAUAGAAUAAGAUGUCGUCUUUCUUAUUCUGGGUUGGAAUUUUUACUUAAAAAAAAAGUGAUUGGACUCCCACCGUGUCACUGCCUUAAACAGACCACGAGUUGUGCAUCUUGUUUCAUUUUGUGCCUUCUCUGUGUGCUGUGCAUUCAUUUAGAUGAUUCACAAAAGCCUGUCCCCUGUGCCUCCCCCGAUCAGGAUUAAAGAGCUCAAGCCCUGCCAGUUGGGUGGAAGCAUUGCUGGUUGGACCCAGCCUAUGAAUGCCCUUCUUCCCACUGAUCUGGGCCCGAGGAACUCUUUGUUUUGUUCCACUCCGAUCUUUGCCCUUAGCAGAGGCUCAGACCCAGUUCCUCCCAGACUCGUGAUGACUUGGAUGAUGUCCUCUCUCUCAUUCCAUGAGGAACUCACCAGUGUGAUCAAAUUCAAUGGCCCCUUCUCCAUCUGUUUACUAUUUGGCCUCUCUGCAUCAUUUACAACAUGUUAUCACUCCUCCUCUGCAACUUCUCUUCUUGGGCUCCCGUCACACAGAAUGCUCUGUGUUCUUUCUUCCUCUCUCUUGGUGCUUCUUGAUCAUCCUUCUUGGGUCUUUUGUUUCCUUCCACAAUUUCAAAGUUGGUAUUGUCCAAGGCUCUGUUCUUGGCCUGCUUUUCAUACUCCUCCUCACUCCUUGCAAUGUCAUCCACACCUAUAGCCUUAACCAUGAACUCUGAGGCUGACUCUCAAACCUGCCUCUAAACCAGGUCGCGCUUCUGAGCAACUCUGCAUGGAAAUGUACAAACUAUUCAAAACGAAUUUGACUUUCUCUUCAACUUGCCCUCCAUUUUCUCUGGUAUUGUUAGCAUCUGCGUUCUCCCAGUUGCUCAGACUUAAAAGCUUUGUAUCAUCUUUGAUUAUGCCUACAUAUGCCACAACUCUCAUCAGUCUUAUUUUCCUCCUCUGCCACUUUCUCCUCCUCCUUCUUCUCUGCGUGCCCCCCCCCCCCCCCCCCCCCCCCCCCCCCCCCCCCCCCCCCCCCCCCUCCCUCUCCCAUUGACGCAGCCCAUUUCAGUAUCCCAUUUCACUUAUGCUGUUCUACUUUCUUUCCCUUACAAUUUGUCCUUCCUGCUGCUUUUGCCAGUUCUGGCCCAGUCAGUCUCUGCUCAAAACCUUAGUACCUCUCUAACCCCUAGAAAUCAAAGACCGAUCGUUACUUAAUUUCACAUGAGCUCCCCUUGGACAUGGCUUGCAUGCCGGCUUUCCAGGCAUAUUCUCCUCCUAGCAUGUUCCUUGACUAAGCCUUCUGACUCCUGAACACUGCUGUUGGGACUGUAAAAAGGCACGCUGUUUGGCAAAAUACAUUGAAAACCUCGAAGGUGUGGCUUGAUCAAGUUAUUCUACUUCCAGGAAUUUAUCCUAAGGAAAUAAUCAGACAGCUGCACAAAGACACGUGCAUAAGAAGUGUCAUUACCGCAUAAUUUGCAAUUAUAAAAAAAUGAAAACAGUAUCAGCGUCCAAUAAUAUCAGUACAAUGGCAUAGUAGGCAAUCAUUAAAAAAAUAAUAUAGACUAAUUUACUGACAUGGAAAGAUAUUCCAGCAUUUCUCUAUGUAUCUAAGUAAAAAAGUUAUGGAGUGAAGUUAAUUAUAUAAUUAAUAUAAUUGAUAUAUAUUAAUAUGUGGUCUUUAUAUAUAAUAUAUAUGCAAGAAGGAAUAGGACAACUCUCAAAGGAUGUACAUGUACAUACUAUGUAUGUGCAUACACACAGUGACUGGAAUUAUAGUUAAUGGUUUAUUUCUUUCAUUUUUCUUAUCAGUAUUUAAAAAAUUUUCUACAACGAGCAUGGAUUAACUCCAUAAAGUAAUAAUAGUUAAAGUUACAAUGUGCUGAGGUAAAGCAAUUUCUUAAAAAAUUCUUAAAAGAAAAAUGUCCUCCACCCUUUCGUUGCCUUGCCUUUGUUAAUCUUAUCAUUGUGCCUAUAAGUUUUCAUCUCCUCAUGUUGCAGUAAAGUAUUAUCCAUUUCCAAAACAAUUGAACUCCCCCUGCAAGGGAGGAACAAAGGAUCUGAGGUCAGAGGUCUAAGGUUUACGUCCUCAUUCUGCACUCUACUAAGCCAAGUUUCUUCCUCUGUGAAGGAGAAAAAGGUCAUAAUAUCUAAUUCACAGACGUGGCAUGAGGAUCAGACAAUGUAUAGGAAAAGCAUUUAGAGAAUCGCACAGCAUCCCACAGCGGUCAGGGAGUGUGAUUUCUUAUUACCAAAACCAUGCGGUCUGACUACGUGGACUAGAUUGCCGCAUGAGGAUUGGAGCCUUUUCAGCCUCAGCCUCGAGCCCAGUGUGGACACAACCCAGCUGCACACCAGCUUGCGCCCUGGGCCGGGCAAUCGGCCAUGCGGGUGAAGGGGGGUGUGAGGCCUCCCCACACCCCCAGCACUUCCCUUCCCUUCCAGCGUUUCCAAAGCAAGACUUAACUCUAGGAGUCUUGGAGAAAACACUGUGUCCGGGGCCAAUCUGUCUGGUACCCACAUGGGGACUUCAGAGCCACCUUGCUGUCUCCCUGACCUCUUCCAGUCCCCUGCUCCGGAUCUGAGGAGUUGACCGGUCCCCAGGACCUGGGGGCAUUCCGUGCUGUUGGCUGUGUAGACGAC
ensembl:lncRNA